UCUGUGGAGCGUUACAUCAAACCGAAGUAGCUUCGGCGAAACGGGACGCGAUGAAGCAGAAA
rnacentral:ncRNA from 1 species